rnacentral:rRNA from 1 species
UCCAGACUCCUACGGGAGGCAGCAGUGGGGAAUAUUGCACAAUGGGGGAAACCCUGAUGCAGCAACGCCGCGUGGGUGAAGGAGCGUUUCGGCGCGUAAAGCCCUGUCAGCGGGGAAGAAGAAAGACGGUACCCGACCAAGAAGCCCCGGCUAACUACGUGCCAGCAGCCGCGGUAAUACGUAGGGGGCGAGCGUUGUCCGGAAUUACUGGGUGUAAAGGGAGCGUAGGCGGGACGGCAAGUCAGAUGUGAAAACUGAGGGCUCAACCUUCAGACUGCAUUUGAAACUGCUGUUCUUGAGUGAAGUAGAGGUAAGCGGAAUUCCUAGUGUAGCGGUGAAAUGCGUAGAUAUUAGGAGGAACAUCGGUGGCGAAGGCGGCUUACUGGGCUUUUACUGACGCUGAGGCUCGAAAGCGUGGGGAGCAAACAGGAUUAGAUACCCGCGUA